CUCAGCUCAGCCCCUUCCUCCUUUGAGUUGCCUGCGGCGCCCCCCGGCCCACGCUCUUAAAAUGGCUCCUCGGCCCCUCCGCAGUGCGCCAGAUUGAGGUCCAGGGGCUCCUAGCGGGCCAGGGGCGAGGUAGGGGGGGAAUUUUUUCUCUCUCUCCCUCCCUCUCUCCCUUGCUCGCCUGAGGUCCCUGGCUCCGGAUCGGACGACCCCGCCAGGAGACCGGGAGAGUUCGAGCCAUUCAAGUUCAACGACAUGGCGACGCCGGGCUUGGGCAGAACCCGCGUUGUAGCGGGGGCGGAGGAUAUGUGUAUGUUUGUAUACAAAACAUCUUCCACGCUCACGCACUGUGCAUUCGCCGGGGAUUCGACUGAGAAGUCAGGGAAAGAACGAACGGAAAAGAUAAAUCGAAAACAAGAGCAAGUGGGUUUGCUUUUCGGCUGCUUCAUUCAUCGCCUGAGGAAUGGAGCCUCAGGAAUAAGUGUUUUUUUCUUUUUUUUCAGAAGUUUCUAAGGAAGAGUGUUUAUUUUAUUUUUUUAAAGCCGUUUUAGGAGAAAGGGCAUUUGUUUUCCUCCGAACUCCAGUUCAGUUCGAAUAAAUCCAUUUCCCAGGUUCUCUGAAUCAAUGCAUUAUUGUCCUCUGCCGCCUUUGUUCGCUCCGCUUCGAUGAGGAAACCCGAUAGCUCAGACAGAAAUCUAUCGCCCUCUCCCCAGCUCGAUUCCCCUCUCACGCCAGUCAUUCCUCAACUAUGGCGCGAUUAUGGGUUACUUCUACCCGUUACUCUAUCUUCUUCCAUUCACUCCCAAUCGCCAAGAAACCAAACAAACAAUAAUCAGCUUUUAAAUUUUUCAGGGAAGUUUCAAGACCCGGGUGCGAGAAGUGGGAGCGCAAAUUAUUAAGAAUCCGAGGCUUGGCCAGUUUACCUCCUGCCGGCCUUGGCACUCAGACUUUAGUAUCGCCUCAUCCCUAGGCCCGCAGAGAUUUCCGUUCAAACCAAAUUUUGGUCUGGAACCGCCCUGGGAGGCUGCUGACCUUCUCCCUCGGUCGGCCGACACCCCAUGUCAGCGGCGAAAUGCAUUUUCCCUAUGGGGCCACCCAUUCCCACUCUCCCGAGCCGCAGUCCAAUUUCCAGUGGAAUAUCUCGGCGCCUCCCAACGGAGGCAUCGCCCUUAUUUCGGAGAAGCUGCGGCCAACCUCGGGCUCAGACAGAGGCUUUGCCUCCAACUCAAAGGAC
rnacentral:lncRNA from 1 species